AGAUCUACCUGGCAGGGAGACAUAAUGAUCACAAAGGUGGUUUUCCCAGGGUGAGGCCCACCCCUUGCAGUCCAGGCAGGCUGACACUUAUGAGUUUCCUCAGAAUGGGAAAACUGAGGAAAACUCAGAAUGGGAAACUCAACUGACCAGUUUUGUGGUAAUGGGGGACGACUUUCCCCCU
rnacentral:snRNA from 14 species